AAAUUGAAGAGUUUGAUCAUGGCUCAGAUUGAACGCUGGCGGCAGGCCUAACACAUGCAAGUCGAGCGGAAACGAGUUAUCAGAACCUUCGGGGRACGAUAACGGCGUCGAGCGGCGGACGGGUGAGUAAUGCCUAGGAAAUUGCCCUGAUGUGGGGGAUAACCAUUGGAAACGAUGGCUAAUACCGCAUGAUGCCUACGGGCCAAAGAGGGGGACCUUCGGGCCUCUCGCGUCAGGAUAUGCCUAG
rnacentral:rRNA from 1 species